UUUCCGUAGGUGAACCUGCGGAAGAUCAUUAAAAAUGUGGUACCAAUUGUUGGUACUAAUUAUCAUCCUACCUUUGUGAAUUGUUUGUAUGAAUUUUUUUAAACGGUCUUUCCCUAAGUUGGAUUGUAGUAAAAUACAAAAAGACUUAGGGGAAUGACUUUUUUAAAAGACUUUUUUUAAUUAAAACUUUUGUAUUCAUUUGUCUAAAAUUUAUUUUAUAAUAUAAAAACAACUUUUGACAAUGGAUCUCUUGGUUCUCGCAACGAUGAAGAACGCAGCAAAAUGCGAUAAGUAGUGUGAAUUGCAGAAUACGUGAAUCAUCGAAUCUUCGAACGCAUAUUGCACUUUUUAGUUUACUAAAAAGUAUGUCUGUUUGAGUAUCAGUAAAAUAUUCUCACAACAUAUAUUGUUUUGGUUAUGAGUGUUUUACAACGAUAACAGUUGUUUCACUUUAAAUUCUUUUUGUAAGUUUUACUACCAAUUUACAAUUUAAAAUUGGAUAAAAUUUUCUUUAACGAGGAAUAACUAAACAAUUUUAAAUUUUUUGGUUGUAAAUCCAUGAAGGAAUCUAUACAUAAAUAACUUGAUCUCAAAUCAGAUAUGAGUACCCGCUGAACUUAAGCAUAUCAAUAAGCGGAGGAAAAGAAACUAACAAGAUUCCCUUAGUAACGGCGAGUGAAGCGGAAGAGCUCAAUUUGAAAUCUUCAAGGUUUGACCUUGACGAAUUGUAGUUUAUAGAAGUGUUUUCUGUUGGAGUUUUGGUAAAAGUUCUUUGGAAUAGGACAUCAUAGAGGGUGAGAAUCCGUAUUUGACCAUGACUUUCCAGCUGUGUGAUACACUUUCAAAGAGUCGGAUUGUUUGGGAAUGCAGUCCAAAAUGGGUGGUAAAUUUCAUCUAAAGCUAAAUAUUGGCGAGAGACCGAUAGCGAACAAGUACCGUGAGGGAAAGAUGAAAAGAACUUGAAAAGAGAGUUAAACAGUACGUGAAAUUGUCAAAAGGGAAGCGUUUGACACCAGUGUUGUUUUCUCGAAAAUCAAUUUAAUGAGUUCUUGUUUUUAAGUUAUUGUGACUUAUCAGCGCAUUUCUUAUUUUACUUGACUCAUUGAAUGCACUUUUCGUUUAACAAGUCAACAUCAAUUUCUUUGGUGGUAAAAAGUUUAAAGGAAGGUGCUUGGACUUCGGUUCAAGUGUUUAUAGCCUUUUUUCUAUGCCAUCGGAGAGAUUGAGGUCUGCAGCGUAGAUCCUUCGGGUUAGAUACCUUUGUGCUAAGUUAUAGUUUUUUAUAGACAACUUGUUGACUAUAAUUAACCCUGUAAUUUACUCGCUUAGGCUAUUUUACCUACGCUUAGGAUGUUG
rnacentral:misc_RNA from 1 species